UACAGAGGUCUCAAGCGUUUGUUCGGAUUCAUUGGGCGUAAAGGGUGUGUAGGUGGCGCCGUAAGUCGGGUGUGAAAUUUCGGAGCUUAACUCCGAAACUGCAUUCGAUACUGCGGUGCUUGAGGACUGGAGAGGAGACUGGAAUUCAUGGUGUAGCAGUGAAAUGCGUAGAGAUCAUGAGGAAGACCAGUGGCGAAGGCGGGUCUCUGGACAGUUCCUGACACUGAGGCACGAAGGCCAGGGGAGCAAACAGG
rnacentral:rRNA from 1 species